GAUGAACGCUGGCGGCGUGCCUAAUACAUGCAAGUCGAGCGAACAGACGAGGAGCUUGCUCCUCUGACGUUAGCGGCGGACGGGUGAGUAACACGUGGAUAACCUACCUAUAAGACUGGGAUAACUUCGGGAAACCGGAGCUAAUACCGGAUAAUAUAUUGAACCGCAUGGUUCAAUAGUGAAAGACGGUUUUGCUGUCACUUAUAGAUGGAUCCGCGCCGCAUUAGCUAGUUGGUAAGGUAACGGCUUACCAAGGCAACGAUGCGUAGCCGACCUGAGAGGGUGAUCGGCCACACGGGAAGUGAGACACGGUCCAGACUCCUACGGGAGGCAGCAGUAGGGAAUCUUACGCAAUGGGCGAAAGCCUGACGGAGCAACGCGGCGUGAGUGAUGAAGGUCUUCGGAUCGUAAAACUCUGUUAUUAGGGAAGAACAAAUGUGUAAGUAACUAUGCACGUCUUGACGGUACCUAAUCAGAAAGCCACGGCUAACUACGUG
rnacentral:rRNA from 1 species